rnacentral:lncRNA from 1 species
GGGGAGGCUCUGAGGAGGGCUGGUGGAGACGGAGCCACCGCUCUCUCGCAGCUCUGGGUGACCGGGCAGGGGAACCGCCUCCGAGAGAAAUCCUUGACUCGGCAGGAAGGGCGAACGCUCAGCCAGAGGCCGCCCAGGAGGCGCGGCGAAGCGCGGGAGUUCAGCCAGGUUGAAUGGGAUGGCGGCAAGCCCCCCACCCCCCACCCCCGCUCUGCCACUCGGCUAGCUCCUGCCCCGGCCUUUUCCCUCCAAGGCUGCCCUCUUUUCCGGCGGCUUGGCCUGCCUCCCGGUUCUACAAGCAAGCCAGUUUUCCGGGGAGGUCAAGCCUCCAGCGAGGGAGCUGAGCUUCCAAGAUCGCCCCAUUUCCCCCCCUCCCGCUCCCGCGCGCCACACCCCCGGAGGGCAGCGCCUCUUCUCCGCUCCCCUGCCAGCUCCACAGCUCCUGUGCCACUCACUCAUCUGAGCGCUGAUUUAAAAGGGAAACCACUUGGCGAAACCUUCGCUGCUCAAAGGCUCAUCUCUGAGGGCUUUCGGCUCCCGGUCCUUCCUCCCCCUCCGGCCCCACGGGGUUCUGGAGGGCGCCGGCAGAGGCGGUGGGCAGGCGCGCGCGCGAGGUCCCUGGGUCCCCGGCUGCGCAGGUCAAGCAGAUCGUUGAAUCCCGGAGAGACAGCCUUCCUUUCGCUUUCAGGCCUUUCCGGGCACCAAGGCCGGAGGUACUGGUUAGGGCCGACCAGGCCUCCUGGCCUGCUUCCCUCUCAGGGCCAGGCACCUUGGCGUUCGUGGGACGUGCGAAUGGAUGGCCGCCUGCCCGCUUUCUCCCUUUUUCCGCGGGAACGGACAGCCCCGCGUUCCUCUCCACCAGCCCCCACCCGGCAAGCCCCGCCCCCUCCCCAUUUGGUGCAGGUAGAGGAUGCAAAACGGGCCGGGCAAUUCCAUCUCGGAGCGGAGAAAGGAGAGGAGCGCCGUCGACCCGCCGUCUGGCUCCUGGGUUUGACGCUCCCCUUUCGAGGCUCAUUUGCCACGUCCGGCUGCCUCGGCCAAUCUCGCCACAGUGGCAUUUAA